rnacentral:rRNA from 1 species
AACGAACGCUGGCGGCAGGCUUAACACAUGCAAGUCGAACGCACCGCAAGGCGAGUGGCAGACGGGUGAGUAACACGUGGGGAUCUGCCCAAUGGUACGGAAUAGCUCCGGGAAACUGGAAUUAAUACCGUAUGAGCCCGCAAGGGGAAAGAUUUAUCGCCAUUGGAUGAACCCGCGUCGGAUUAGCUAGUUGGUGUGGUAAAGGCUCACUAAGGCGACGAUCCGUAGCUGGUCUGAGAGCAUGAUCCGCCACACUGGGACUGAGACACGGCCCAGACUCCUACGAGAGGCAGCAGUGGGGAAUAUUGGACAAUGGGCGCAAGCCUGAUCCAGCCAUGCCGCGUGAGUGAUGAAGUCCUUAGGGUUGUAAAGCUCUUUCGCCGACGAAGAUAAUGACGGUAGUCGGAGAAGAAGCCCCGGCUAACUUCGUGCCAGCCGCCGCGGUAAAAC